AUUGAACGCUGGCGGCAGGCCUAACACAUGCAAGUCGAGCGGAUGACGGGAGCUUGCUCCUUGAUUCAGCGGCGGACGGGUGAGUAAUGCCUAGGAAUCUGCCUGGUAGUGGGGGACAACGUUUCGAAAGGAGCGCUAAUACCGCAUACGUCCUACGGGAGAAAGCAGGGGACCUUCGGGCCUUGCGCUAUCAGAUGAGCCUAGGUCGGAUUAGCUAGUAGGUGAGGUAAUGGCUCACCUAGGCGACGAUCCGUAACUGGUCUGAGAGGAUGAUCAGUCACACUGGAACGGGGAAACGGUCCAGACUCCUACGGGAGGCAGCAGUGGGGAAUAUUGGACAAUGGGCGAAAGCCUGAUCCAGCCAUGCCGCGUGUGUGAAGAAGGUCUUAGGAUUGUAAAGCACUUUAAGUUGGGAGGAAGGGCAGUAAGUUAAUACCUUGCUGUUUUGACGUUACCGACAGAAUAAGCACCGGCUAACUCUGUGCCAGCCGCCGCCGUAAUAC
rnacentral:rRNA from 1 species